UCAAGGGCGAGAGGAGUAUAAGUGCUCAUGAUCGGUCGCGGUUGAUUUGAACGCCAGUCGAUUGGUGUGUGAGCUGCGGAGAACAUCGCGGGAACACUUUCUCCGGUUUCAAACGUAAAAGUGCAUUCAAGUUUUCCGAAACAAAUCAAAACGGCUGCAGCAGAAGAGCCAAAAACAAAGAGCUUCACUAGCCGAAGUAACAAACUCUAGUCCAGAUGAAGCACACCCAUAACCACAUGAUCAAGAGUGCAGAUACCCUCAAGCACAGAGACGUCAACGAAGAGAACAUAGAAAAGUUCAAGAACCUGUAUGCGAAAGGCCAUUCUCCAGCAUCCGCGUUGAAUACUCAUAAGCUGGACAUGCAGCUACAAUACGACAAAGAUUACGUUUAUGAAGCUGCAGAUUGGUCUAAGUGUCCAGAUAUACAGUUCUGUCACAGGUAAGACAGCUGUAGACUUCCUGGUGACACGACUCCCGGGAUACUAUGAGCGCAGCCUCACUGACCUUGCUAAUGGAUAGGAAAGCUCCUCACUCUCUCAGUCAGUAUGUCAUGAACAAUGAAGGGAUUGGUCGAAACAAAUCUUCGAAGUGGUAGUUCCUUACCAUCAUUGUAAGACUAUUUUGAUAGGUUGUGAGAACAUUUUGCCAACUUUGGUUGCGUUUUAUGAUUUUGAAACCAGUAUUAUCAUCAAUGAGAAUCAGAUGCUACAUGUACAUGUAGUAUGAUGUAGUAAUUCUAAUGGUUUUUGCAUUGAAAGUGACAUCUUUAUUACACAAUGUACAUUAAUUUUGAUAAGAUUUUGCGUGUUUGCUAUGAUGCAGGUUUGCAUUGAAACAGCUUGGUGUCGUAAGCUUUCUAUUAUACCUUAGUUAUCUCUCCUUACCUUGUAAUGAGUUUUGUAUGAAUGUUCUUACAUGAUCGAUGCAAAAUAAAGUUAUUUCUAAAGCUA